AUUGAACGCUGGCGGCAUGCCUUACACAUGCAAGUCGAACGGCAGCACGGGUACUUGCACCUGGUGGCGAGUGGCGAACGGGUGAGUAAUACAUCGGAACGUACCCUAUCGUGGGGGAUAACGCAGCGAAAGCUGUGCUAAUACCGCAUACGCCCUGAGGGGGAAAGCGGGGGAUCGCAAGACCUCGCGCGAUUAGAGCGGCCGAUGCCUGAUUAGCUUGUUGGUGGGGUAAAAGCCCACCAAGGCGACGAUCAGUAGCUGGUCUGAGAGGACGAUCAGCCACACUGGGACUGAGACACGGCCCAGACUCCUACGGGAGGCAGCAGUGGGGAAUUUUGGACAAUGGGGGCAACCCUGAUCCAGCAAUGCCGCGUGAGUGAAGAAGGCCUUCGGGUUGUAAAGCUCUUUUGUCAGGGAAGAAACACCGGCUCUAACACAGUCCGGGAAUGACGGUACCUGAAGAAUAAGCACCGGCUAACUACGUGCCAGCCGCCGCCGUAA
rnacentral:rRNA from 1 species